rnacentral:rRNA from 1 species
CCCGUGGGAAGCCGGGGGGACCACCCUCCAAGCCUAAAUACUCCCCAGUGACCGAUAGAGAACAGUACUGUGAAGGAAAGGUGAAAAGCACCCCGGGAGGGGAGUGAAAGAGCACCUGAAACCCUGCGCCUACAAGCACAUAGAGCACGUCAAAGUGUGAUAUGGUACCUUUUGUAGAAUGGUCCGGCGAGCGUAUGUAUGCAGCAAGGUUAAGCGCUUAAGGCGCGGAGCCGAAGGGAAACCGAGUCUGAAUAGGGCGUGAAGUUGCAUGCAUAGGGCCCGAAACCGGGUGACCUAUCCAUGUCCAGGUUGAAGUGGGAGUAAAAUCCCAUGGAGGACCGAACCGACCUCCGUUGAAAAGGCGGCGGAUGAGGUGUGGAUAGCGGAGAAAUUCCAAUCGAACCCGGAGAUAGCUGGUUCUCCCCGAAAUAGCUUUAGGGCUAGCGUUGUAUUAGAUUACCGGAGGUAAAGCACUGAAUGGGCUAGGGGCCGAGAGGUUACUGAACCCUAUCAAACUCUGAAUGCCGGAUAAUUGAUGUACAGCAGUCAGACUACGUGAGAUAAGUCUCGUGGUCGAGAGGGAAAAAGCCCAGACCCACAGCUAAGGUCCCAAAUACACGUUAAGUGGAAAAGGAUGUGGAGUUGCACAGACAACCAGGAUGUUGGCUUAGAAGCAGCCACUCAUUAAAAGAGUGCGUAAUAGCUCACUGGUCGAGUGACUCUGCGCCGAAAAUUCAACGGGGCUAAACGUGUAACCGAAGCUUGGGAUUUCAUUCACUGAA